rnacentral:rRNA from 1 species
UACGAAGGGGGCUAGCGUUGUUCGGAAUCACUGGGCGUAAAGCGCACGCAGGCGGAUUGAUAAGUCGGGGGUGAAAUCCCGGGGCUCAACCUCGGAAUUGCCUUCGAUACUGUCUGUCUUGAGUCCGGGAGAGGUGAGUGGAAUUCCUAGUGUAGAGGUGAAAUUCGUAGAUAUUAGGAAGAACACCAGUGGCGAAGGCGGCUCACUGGCCCGGUACUGACGCUCAUGCACGAAAGCGUGGGGAGCAA